CAGCAGCCACGGGAAUACGGAGGGUGCAAGCGUUAAUCGGAAUUACUGGGCGUAAAGCGCACGCAGGCGGUCUGUCAAGUCGGAUGUGAAAUCCCCGGGCUCAACCUGGGAACUGCAUUCGAAACUGGCAGGCUAGAGUCUUGUAGAGGGGGGUAGAAUUCCAGGUGUAGCGGUGAAAUGCGUAGAGAUCUGGAGGAAUACCGGUGGCGAAGGCGGCCCCCUGGACAAAGACUGACGCUCAGGUGCGAAAGCGUGGGGAGCAAACAGGAUUAGAUACCCGAGUAGUCCCUGUCUCUUAUAC
rnacentral:rRNA from 1 species